CCGCUCCGCCAUCGCGCCGCUGGGACUACAACUCCCGGCGUGCCCCAGGGCAGCGGCGCACGGAGCGCGCUGAUUGGCCCGCGGGGGCAGCGCGGGCGCCCCCACGUGGCGGCUCGGCGGGGCCGGGACCCCCUGGGAUAACCCGGGACAAGCCGGGACAAACCGAAACAGCUGGGCUGCCCCCCGCUGCCGUGCCACGGGCCUCGCCCGGGCUACCUUGAGGGACUCAGUGCUGAGUCUGGUGGCUGGGAACGGGGCCAGCUGCUCCGAUCCUCCCCUCCCCUCCCCUGGAAAUGCCUCAAAGACCAGCAAAUCUGUGGUAUGGUGUGCUCUGUCCUGUGCUGGCCAAUGUUUGGUAAUUAGCAUGUGAAAACCCAAUUUGAUUUGACCAGUGUGUCCUGGAGCUGCAGCUCCUUUCGUCCAUCCUGCCAUCCCACUCUUCUGUGCUCUCAACAGAAGCAUGAAAAGCUUGUGCCAGGCAGCACAGACCUGGGCAAUGCACCUGUGCACAGUGCCACAUGUGUCCCUGUCCCCCAACACAGCCUGGCAAAUGCUGUGACAUCAAUGGCAAGGUAGCUAAACAUCAGACAACACCUGCAGAGAAUGGGGGUCACAGGUCUCUUGUGAGGAUGCUCUCUACCUGUCUCCUGAUACUCUGAGGCCGGGAUUUUCCCUCAUCUCCCUAUUCCUCAUGGUCGUCUCCCUCCCCUCUCCCUUUCCUUUCCCUUCCCCUCCCAGAUCAGUGGGCGGGAGGAGCCCUGGGACACAGCAGGGAGAUUCCUCCCUUUCCAGGCAGCCUCUGGCAGGCAGGUGCAGUGGAAGUGUCACUUGGAAGGGUGCUGGGAGCUUCUUCAGUGACCAACUUCAAACAGUGCCCUGUUUGUUGACUGUAAUCUUAGUGCUGGAACACGAUGGGAAUGUUAACAAAGUUCCUGGAAUCUUCAUGGAGAGGAACUGUAAAGGACAGCAUCCCUCACAGAGCAACUGAACUGAAAUUACAGGUGAUUAACCUUUCAUUUAUUCCCUGAUUUAUGGUAUAACACAAGUUUUUGCAAGUGAAAUAAAGAUGCUUUUUAAAUUAA